UUAUGCUGAUAAGAGCGUAUGGUGGAUGCCUUGGCACUAAGAGCCGAUGAAAGACGUGAUAAGCUGCGAAAAGCUUCGGGGAGGAGCAAAUAUCCUUUGAUCCGGAGAUUUCUGAAUGGGGAAACCUACUUGAGCAAACCUCAAGUAUCCUUAAGCCAAUACAUAACUUAAGGAAGGGAACCCGGUGAACUGAAACAUCUAAGUAGCCGGAGGAAGAGAAAACAACAUGUGAUUCUGUGAGUAGCGGCGAGCGAAAACGGAAGAGCCCAAACCAGCGUGCGUGCAUGCUGGGGUUCGGACCGCGGAAUUGAUUCAACGAGUUUAGCAGAACGGUUUUGGGAAAGCCGGCCAGAGAGGGUGAAAGCCCCGUAAGCGAAAGACGAGUUGACAUGGCGGGAUCCAGAGUACCACGAGACACGUGGAACCUUGUGGGAAGAUGCGGGGACCACCCCGUAAGGCUAAAUACUACUUAGUGACCGAUAGCGCAUAGUACUGUGAAGGAAAGGUGAAAAGGACCCCGGGAGGGGAGUGAAAAAGAACCUGAAACCAUAUGUUUACAAGCUGUGGAAGAGCUUUAUAUGCUCAACCGCGUACUUUUUGUAGAACGGUCCGGCGAGUUACGCUGGCUGGCGAGGUUAAGGACUAAAGGUCCGGAGCCGAAGGGAAACCAAGUCUGAAUAGGGCGCAUAGUCAGUCGGAGUAGACCCGAAACCGGGUGAUCUAUCCAUGUCCAGGUUGAAGUUGCCGUAAAAGGCAAUGGAGGACCGAACCCACAUCCGUUGAAAAGGGUGGGGAUGAGGUGUGGAUAGGGGAGAAAUUCCAAUCGAACCCGGAGAUAGCUGGUUCUCCUCGAAAUAGCUUUAGGGCUAGCCUCAUACGAGUCUUGCGGAGGUAGAGCACUGAAUUCCUAAGGGGGCGUCAAAGCUUACUAAGGGAUAUCAAACUCCGAAUGCCGUGUAGAUGAUGUAUGGGAGUCAGACGAUCCGAGAUAAGUUGGGUGGUCAAAAGGGAAAGAGCCCAGACCAACAGCUAAGGCCCCAAAAUGUGUGUUAAGUGGAAAAGGAUGUGGGAUUUCGAAGACAACUAGGAUGUUGGCUCAGAAGCAGCCAUUCAUUCAAAGAGUGCGUAAUAGCUCACUAGUCGAGAGGUCCUGCGCCGAAAAUGUCCGGGGCUAAAACACACUGCCGAAGCUUUGGAAUUGAGAAUUCAAUUGGUAGAGGAGCAUUCUUAAAGGGACGAAGCAGUACCGUAAGGAGCUGUGGACUUUUAAGAAGAGAGAAUGCCGGAAUGAGUAGCGAGAGGAAGGUGGGAAUCCUUCCGGCCGAAUAUCUAAGGUUUCCAGAGUAAAGCUGAUCUGCUCUGGGUAAGUCGGGGCCUAAGGCGAGGUCGAAAGACGUAGUCGAUGGAUAACAGGUUGAAAUUCCUGUACUAUCCUGUAACAGAACUGUGGGGACACAGGCAGAGAGCGUGAGCCGGGAAUGGAAAGACCGGUACAAGCGAGGUAGGAGAAGAGUUGGCAAAUCCGCUCUUUAAUCUGAAGACGUGAUGUGGACUGAAAAUAAGUAGGGAAGCACGUGAGCUGACUGUCAAGAAAAGCCGCUAUUGUUUGCAGGAUACCCGUACCGUAAACCGACACAGGUGGAUGAGGAGAGAAUCCUAAGGCCGACGGGAGAAGCAUUGUUAAGGAACUCGGCAAAAUGACUCCGUAACUUCGGGAGAAGGAGUGCCAGUAAGAUGGCCGCAGAGAAUUGGCCCAAGCAACUGUUUAGCAAAAACACAGGUCUAUGCAAAACCGAAAGGUGAGGUAUAUGGGCUGACGCCUGCCCGGUGCUGGAAGGUUAAGGGGAGAGGUUAGCGCAAGCGAAGCUUUGAACUUAAGCCCCAGUAAACGGCGGCCGUAACUAUAACGGUCCUAAGGUAGCGAAAUUCCUUGUCGGGUAAGUUCCGACCCGCACGAAAGGCGUAAUGAUUUGGGCACUGUCUCAACAAUGCACCCGGUGAAAUUGAAAUACCAGUGAAGAUGCUGGUUACCUGCGCCAGGACGGAAAGACCCCAUGGAGCUUUACUCCAGCUUGAUACUGGGAUUCGGUAUUGCAUGUACAG
rnacentral:rRNA from 1 species